AAAUUGAAGAGUUUGAUCAUGGCUCAGAUUGAACGCUGGCGGCAGGCCUAACACAUGCAAGUCGAACGGUAACAGGAAGAAGCUUGCUUCUUUGCUGACGAGUGGCGGACGGGUGAGUAAUGUCUGGGAAACUGCCUGAUGGAGGGGGAUAACUACUGGAAACGGUAGCUAAUACCGCAUAACGUCGCAAGACCAAAGAGGGGGACCUUCGGGCCUCUUGCCAUCGGAUGUGCCCAGAUGGGAUUAGCUUGUUGGUGGGGUAACGGCUCACCAAGGCGACGAUCCCUAGCUGGUCUGAGAGGAUGACCAGCCACACUGGAACUGAGACACGGUCCAGACUCCUACGGGAGGCAGCAGUGGGGAA
rnacentral:rRNA from 1 species